rnacentral:rRNA from 1 species
CCAAUAGCGUAAAUUAAAGUUGUUGCAGUUAAAAGCUCGUAGUUGAAUUUCGGGGUUUGUCCAUUGGUCGGGCUUUACCGUCCGUACUGGUGCGAUGGAUUCCUACCUUCUGAAUAACCUGCAUGCCAUUUAUUUUGUGUGCUGGGGAAGCAGAGCUGUUACCUUGAAAAAUUAGAGUGCUUAAAGCAGGAAAGUGCCUGAAUACAUUAGCAUGGGAUAAUGAAAUAGGACGGCAUGGUUCUAUUUUGUUGGUUUCUAGGAUCACCGUAAUGAUUAAUAGGGAUAGUUGGGGGCAUUAGUAUUCAAUUGUCAGAGGUGAAAUUCUUGGAUUUAUUGAAGACUAACUCCUGCGAAAGCAUUUGCCAUCAUUAAUCAAGACGAAAGUUAGGGGAU